rfam:Hordeum vulgare subsp. vulgare, WGS project CAJW01000000 data, contig: morex_contig_45176
GGUCCCCUGGCUUAGUUGGUUGGAGUGUUGGUCUAAUAUGCCGAAGGUCGUGGGUUCAAUACCCCAUAGGUACCA